GCCAGGAGCUGCUGGGAGUGGAGCAGGGAGUGCAGGGCUGGUUGGGGACCUGCAUCCUACCCUCAGUGAGAAGGAAGAGGCGACACUGUCCCCAGGUCCUCCAUCCACACAGGGGUCCCCACGUGUGGGUCUCCCCAUGCACACAGGACCAGUGAUGUUUUCCAGAUGUGGAAUUACUGCCAAACAACCAUUUCUGAUGUUGAACCCAUUAGAGACUAAAGGCACACCAUAAAUAAGAACUGGAGGUGGAUUUCCCAGAGAAACAGCACUGACAGACUCCAGAACUCUGGACACAUGAUUUUCCAAAAUAAAGACUGUAUUUCCCAGGCUCCCUUGCAGCUAAGCGAGGCUGUGUGACUAAGUCCUGACUAACGAGCUGUAAGCAGAAGCAGCCUCCAGGAAAUGUACUUAAAGAGAAAGGGCACAUCUGUCUUUACCCAUCCUCCUUCCUGCUGGCUGGAAUGCAGAGGUGAUGGCAGAAGCUCAAGCAGCCAUAUUGAACUAUGAAGAGAAAGCCACCAGCUGAAGACGCCAUAAGAUAGAAGGCACCUGGGUGGACUCCCUCACACUGUGGAGCACCAUACCAGCCUAGGGCCUCCUACCUCCAGGUUUUACAUCAAAGCAAAGUAAACUCC